rnacentral:rRNA from 1 species
ACGCUGGCGGCAUGCCUAACACAUGCAAGUCGAACGCGACCUUCGGGUCUAGUGGCGCACGGGUGCGUAACGCGUGGGAACCUGCCCUUAGGUUCGGAAUAACUCCCCGAAAGGGGUGCUAAUACCGGAUAAUGUCUUCGGACCAAAGAUUUAUCGCCUUUGGAUGGGCCCGCGUUGGAUUAGCUAGUUGGUAGGGUAAAAGCCUACCAAGGCGACGAUCCAUAGCUGGUCUGAGAGGAUGAUCAGCCACACUGGGACUGAGACACGGCCCAGACUCCUACGGGAGGCAGCAGUGGGGAAUAUUGGACAAUGGGCGAAAGCCUGAUCCAGCAAUGCCGCGUGAGUGAUGAAGGCCUUAGGGUUGUAAAGCUCUUUUACCCGGGAUGAUAAUGACAGUACCGGGAGAAUAAGCUCCGGCUAACUCCGUG